rnacentral:rRNA from 1 species
AAAUUGAAGAGUUUGAUCAUGGCUCAGAUUGAACGCUGGCGGCAGGCCUAACACAUGCAAGUCGAACGGUAACAGGAAACAGCUUGCUGUUUCGCUGACGAGUGGCGGACGGGUGAGUAAUAUCUGGGAAACUGCCUGAUGGAGGGGGAUAACUACUGGAAACGGUAGCUAAUACCGCAUAACGUCGCAAGACCAAAGAGGGGGACCUUCGGGCCUCUUG